AACAAACUCGCAAUUCUUAUUUGCUUGAGCUUCAUAAUUCUUAUUAUGCUUGACGAUCUUCUUUAUAAGCAGUUAAAACUUGAGCGAAAUAUAUACUCUUCCCAUUUCCAAUAGUAGCAUUUAUACAAGAAGAACUUUUUUGAAGAUCCUAAAAUGUAGAAUAAGUAAAGUCUAUCUCUUAAGUUUACAUAUAUCAGGAAGUUCGAUUUUAAAUAAAUAUUGAUAAUGAUAAAAUUUAAAUAUGUG
rnacentral:lncRNA from 1 species